GACGAACGCUGGCGGCGUGCUUAACACAUGCAAGUCGAGCGGGUAAGGCCCUUUCGGGGGUACACGAGCGGCGAACGGGUGAGUAACACGUGGGUGACCUGCCCUCAGCUCUGGGAUAAGCCUGGGAAACUGGGUCUAAUACCGGAUAUGACUCCAUGACGCAUGUUGUGGGGUGGAAAGCCUUGUGCGGCUGAGGAUGGGCCCGCGGCCUAUCAGCUUGUUGGUGGGGNGAUGGCCUACCAAGGCGACGACGGGUAGCCGGCCUGAGAGGGCGACCGGCCACACUGGGACUGAGACACGGCCCAGACUCCUACGGGAGGCAGCAGUGGGGAAUCUUGCGCAAUGGGCGAAAGCCUGACGCAGCGACGCCGCGUGAGGGAUGACGGCCUGGUG
rnacentral:rRNA from 1 species